AACUAGCCCUAAUAGAAGUGGAAAUCCUUAUGAGCCGGGGUUCACCUCAUAAGGUUGAAACAAAUAGCGGGAUAAAGC
rnacentral:sRNA from 1 species